ensembl:lncRNA
CCCCCUUCUGUACAAAUCAGAUGAACAAGCUAAAAAAAAAGGGCAAAGUCAAAGGAGAGGAAUGCCCCACUGUAAUGCAUGAACAACUGCAAAUAUUUAUAGAAAAGAUGCACAUCAGGAUCACCCUAGGACAGCUUUAACAUGCAGAGUUAAUGUUUAUGGAGCAAAAUCAACUUACUGAAAGUGAAGUCCUGAUUUCCCUCAUAUGCAUCCAAAGUAAAUUCACACAUAUACAAAUAUUACUUGCUUGAUAGAAUCUUUAGAGAGCAAUGCAACGCUCUCUAAAUGUAUUUACACUUUCUUAAUGCUGUCACUGGUAGGCGGAAAAGCUCACAGUUGUAUUUUCUGAUGAUUUUUUUCUCCAGUCAUAUUCAAGAGGAACAGCAGUACAACCUGGAAAACCAACUCACAGCUCCUGUGAGCCGCACCUGCUCUGGAGCUCCAGUGAGCUGUGCGGUUUGGUCUAGAGCAGCAAUCCUAACAUGCAAGGAGAAUGUUUAACAUCACAUGAGGAGCCUAGGAUCACAGCACAGACAUGGAAGAAAUGCCC